rnacentral:tRNA from 7 species
UGGGCCGUCGCCAAGCGGUAAGGCACGGGGUUUUGAUCUCCGCAUACCAAGGUUCGAAUCCUUGCGGCCCAGCCA